GGGUUUGUAAUCUCAUACAUAGGAAAUCUGGGAUUCAGAUAAUUAGAAUAACACUGCUUCUUUUAAUCAAAACAAAUCAAUAUCAGACCUUCGUCUUGGUGUAUACUGUGGGUUCCAAGUAGACAGAAAAUGUGAAAAUUAACAGAAACUUUGCCUCAAGUUAGAAUUUCCCAAAUGAGUUGAAAGUUAAUAAACAAAUGCU
rnacentral:lncRNA from 1 species